UGCAGUCGAGCGGAACGAUGGAAGCUUGCUUCCAGGCGUCGAGCGGCGGACGGGUGAGUAAUGCAUGGGAAUCUGCCCGAUAGUGGGGGAUAACCUGGGGAAACCCAGGCUAAUACCGCAUACGUCCUACGGGAGAAAGCAGGGGAUCUUCGGACCUUGCGCUAUCGGAUGAGCCCAUGUCGGAUUAGCUUGUUGGUGGGGUAAUGGCCUACCAAGGCGACGAUCCGUAGCUGGUCUGAGAGGAUGAUCAGCCACAUCGGGACUGAGACACGGCCCGAACUCCUACGGGAGGCAGCAGUGGGGAAUAUUGGACAAUGGGCGAAAGCCUGAUCCAGCCAUGCCGCGUGUGUGAAGAAGGCCUUCGGGUUGUAAAGCACUUUCAGUGAGGAAGAACGCCUCUGGCUUAAUACGUCAGAGGGAAGACAUCACUCACAGAAGAAGCACCGGCUAACUCCGUGCCAGCAGCCGCGGUAAUACGGAGGGUGCGAGCGUUAAUCGGAAUUACUGGGCGUAAAGCGCGCGUAGGUGGCUUGAUAAGCCGGUUGUGAAAGCCCCGGGCUCAACCUGGGAAUGGCAUCCGGAACUGUCAGGCUAGAGUGCAG
rnacentral:rRNA from 1 species